AUUUUAAACCCGAGUCCCUGAAAACCUCUCACUCUGUAUCUAACUCAGACUCUCUCUCACUGUCCCUCCCCUGCCAUGGCUCACACAGUUAGUCUUUCGUUUGGAUGCGUUGGGCGUCUCCCUCGUUUGCUUUCUCCUUAAUAAUGAUGGGUCAUGACAACAACAACACCAACAACAAUGGUUCCGCUUUCGCUUUUCUCCAAUCUCAUGUGGGCUUAACAUAAUUGCUCAUGGUUGGGUAUUUCAUGGUAAGUCCUUGCCAGAUAAUAUUAAUUUUUCUCAGCAAUGCACUUCUCAGUGAAAUCAUUGUUCUUUUGCAGCCCUUAUGACAUAGGAAAAAUUAGAGAAAUAUGUCUAGUAGUGCUUGUGGUAGGUUAAGGUUUAGGUGGAUUUGUGGAUUUUGGGGUGUAGAAUCUUUUUAUUGGAUUUAUGGUUUAAAAGAGAAGAAGAAAAAAAAAGAAGUAGAUUUCUUUUCUUUUUUUUUAAUAUGUGAACAGUAUUAUGAACUAUACCUAUGAAUUGUAACCUGUAAACAGUAACCGAGAGAGAGAAAAGAAAGGAGAAAAGAACCCUAAGGUCAAUGUGCCUCACUUCUCAAAACAUUCAAUUUAUUAAUGAACUCUCCAUAUUCUUUGAAUACAUUGAGCACAACUAUAUAUCUAUUAAUACUCUUUCUUGUACUAGUAGUAUUUGGACUCCUACUAGUAUUAGGACUACUAAACUAAAGCCUAAUAAAAUACUAACUUGGACCCAAAGAAAAUAAAACCUUAGAUACUUUAGGAUCUCUUCAAGUUAAAAGAUUCUAGACUCAAAUAAAUUACCAAACUUGCAAGAAUUUCAGAAAUGACAUAUUUGCCCCUGAAUAUAAAAUUGCCCAUAACAAAUAAAAAACUGUUUUGAACCUAAAAGACUCAUUCUUAGACCAUGAAAACCACACAAAUUUUACUUCAAUUGGACUUCACACGUGGACCCCAUAAAAUAAUUCUUGAAUAGUUGAAUUUGCAAUGUGAUAGCGAAGCACUCUUCCAUGGAUGCAUCACCUUAUAUCAACAUUUUGUUUCUGUUGGCUUUUAACAAUUCUGAAGAUAUGAUGGGAAUAAAGUAUUAAGGGUGAUCAGUUACCUGAGUUACUUUUAAAUUGUAUUGCCUUUUGUUUUCUGUGCUACUAUCAGAUUGAUUGAGGGAUGAUUGUUAUCUUUGAGCACAAGAUUCAGGGCAAGUUUCCAUAAAAAAAAAAAAAAAAAAAAAAAAAAAAAAAAAAAAAAAAAAAGAUUCAGGACAAGAUUGUCAGAAAAAUUUGAAAGUCUUUGGCAUUGUGACAUUGUCUGAAAUAGGUGAGUUCUUUUGCCCUCAUCAAUUGUAUCCUUUCUGUCAUGAUGAUGAUUUUAAGGGUAUAGCAUACUUUUUUUUCACAAUCUUGUGUGAAUGUGUGCAUAAGCGUUCAUGCGUGUGUGCUUACUUAGUCUUUUUAUGAUCUUACACCAUUUGCUAUCCCCCCCCCCCCCCUUUUUUUUUUUUUAAAAUCAAUUCUGUCAUGAAUGUUACAGUAUAAUGUAGUUUCAUAAGUCAUGAAUAACUAAUCUAAGAAUAAGGGUUCCCUUUUUAUGUUAGGGUACGAGUGGCCCAUGGUCUUGUAAGUUUUAGGUUUUAAGUUAAUAAAGAUUGUGUAUGUGCUGAGUCUAGCAGUAAUACAUGGCUUCUCAAAUUUGUAGAAGAUAUGUUUCUUUGCUUUGGUUAAUGUUUAUAAAGAUAAAAUAGAUCUGUACAACCAAUAAUGUUUGCUUAGUAGAAGUUGUCUAUAUGUGGCCAAGUCACAUUUGGUCCAUUCAGCUUAGCUUCGAUAAAAUCCUAAUGUCGUAUAUUUCAGGUUAAGAUUGAGCAAGUAGUUGUUGAAUCUAUCAUCUCCAACUUAGGCCACCACUGGCUACUCAAAUUUGUAGAAGGUAUGUUUCUUUGCAUUGAUUAAUGAUUAUAAAGAUAAAAUAGAUCUGUACAGCCAAUAAUGUUUGCUUAGUAGAAGUUGUCUAUAUGUGGCCAAGUCACAUUUGGUCCACUCAGCUUAGCUUCGAUAAAAGCCUAAUGUCGUAUAUUUCAGGCCAAGAUUGAGCAAGUAGUUGUUGAAUCUGUCAUAUCCAACUUAGGCCAUCAUUUAGAUUAUACAUUCCUAGGGGCAUCCUUAUUGAAAGUGUUUAAAAAGAUAAUCAACAAAUUCCUGUUUUUAAUUUCUUUUUUCUUUUGGGGUGGGGGAGUGAACUAUGGGCAAUGUAGAAUAUUCAGAAUUUCACGACGCCUUUUGGAUUUCUGUUUUAUGGACAAAAGUCUAUAUUGAAUCAUUUUCUAGCUUUGGGGUCCAUCCCUUCUCCUUCACCCCCCCAACCACCCCCCCCCCCCCCUUCUCUCCCCCCCACAACCCUACAGAAGGUAUCUUAUGACCCCACCCUAUCAUCGUAGCAUGUGGGACCCACGCAUGUUGUGAGAGAGAAGUUUAAUAAGACCUAUCUCAUAAGAUGCUUUUUCCAAGUAAGGGAAGUUAUUUGUAAUCUUCAAAAAUUAGUUUCAUGGGUAUGCGGACCGUCUUAAUAAGAUACUUUUUCCAACCUAGAGUGGUCCCCUGCUUUAUUUAAAUAAGGAAGGUUUUCCCAAGUAAGGAAAGUUGUUUGUAAUAUUUGAAAAUUAGAUUCAUGUUUUUGUAGACCGUCUCAUAAGAUACUUAUCCAACCCUAUAGUGGACCCCACUCCCUCUAUAUUUAAAUAAGGAAAUAAGGAAGGUUUUUCCAAGUAAGGAAAGUUGUUUGAAAUAUUUGAAAAUUAGAUUCAUGUGUUUGUAGACCAUCUCAUAAGGUACUUUUCCAACCCCACAAUAGACCCCACUCCCUCUUCAUUUAAAUAAGGAAGGUUUUUCCAAGUAAGGAAAGUUGUUUGUAAUAUUUGAAAAUUAGACACAAUAUUAAACCCGGAUUGGAUGUUGACCCGGUCUAUGAGCUGGGUCACUGAGUCACUGGUUCAACCAAUGGGUCAUCGAUCAAAUCGCAGGGUCAAAUAAAAAAAAUUUAUAAUUAAAUGUAUAUAAAAUUAAGUUUGAGAAAUCAUAACUUGAGUAUGUAAAUAAAUAAAUAAAUAAAAAAGGAAAAAAAUAGGCAUAUGCCAUUUCAUACUAUCAAAAAAAAAUUUGAUGUAAGAUCAAUUGUUGAUUGUGUCGUAGGGUCUAACAUUUAAACUGUUGUAGACACUACAAAUAUUCCAUUUCAUAAAUUAUAGUAAUAAACAACAAACAUACAUAGAAAGCAGUAAGUAAGAACUAACAAUUACAAUUUAGUGAUUUACAAUCAUUAAUUUUAUACAUAGAAAGGUUAAUAUAAUAAAAAAAAAUUCUUAUAGACUUAUAGUUUUAAUUUAUAUUUGUCAGUAAAGUUAAGGUCAGCUAAAGCCUAAAGCAAUAAACAAAUUCAAAGCAACAAAAUAGUCAAAACUCAAAGAAGAAACAAUUGUCACAGUGUCACACACUCACAUUGUACACGACAAAAAAAAUCAAACAAAAGAUGCUUAAACUUAAAAGCAAUCAACAAAUAAAGUAUUAAAAAAAAAAACCUAAACAAAAAAAGAUAAUUGGUGGCAUAGAUUCAUAUGGUCAUAUUUACAUGCUAAUUGGUGGCUAAGUACAUUUAUUUAGACUUCAAAGCACACAAAAUUGAUGCAUAGUAAGAGUCUGUAGCUGUAGGUUUGGAGAAUUGUGAAAACUGAAAAGCAAUGGUACACGUACAAACUACAAAGUACGAAUCCGCAGGGACCAAUUUUUUUUUUUUCUUUUUUGGAUUUUUUAGGUUUUCUCUUAUUUAAAUUACCAUAUUAUUACACAUUUAAACAAUAAAAGAGCCAAUAAAGUGGACCUAUUAAUGUAAUUUUACACAAUUUACAAACCCGGUUGGGUUAAUAAAACCCAACUGGGUCACACGAGUUGCUUAAAAUCCACCAGGUUGCACUGGUUUUGACCGGGUCAUGUACUGUUCUGAUCCAAUUGAUCACCCGGCCCAGUCUAUGCGUUGGGCACCAGUCCGAUUGGCCGGGUCAGGCCGGGUUUAAUAACACUCAUACAUGUGUUUGUAGACCAUCUCAUAAGAUACUUUGCCAACACCACUCCCUCUUCAUUUAAAUAAGGAAGGUUUUCCACGUAAGGAAAGUUGUUUGUAAUAUUCAAAAAAAUUAGUUUCAUGUGUUUGGAGACCAUCUCAUAAGAUACUUUUCCCAACCCAGUGGUCCUCUUUUCCCUCUUCAUUUAAAUAACGAAGGUAUUUCCAAGUAAGGAAAGUUAUUUGUAAUCCUCAAAAAAUCAGUUUCAUGUGUUGCAGACCUUCAGAAUUGGGUGUGAAUGCUGCUUGAUUGACAAGAAACCUGACUUGGUGCUUCUAUAUCACAAUCUCAUGGCAAAAAAUGUUCUCAGUGCCUGGGCUUUCCUGUUAAGUACCUGAAUGUAGUAACGUCAAAUCAAAUCUAUAUAUAAUAACAUCAAAAUAAACCAACGUAAUUCUCAGUGCCUAGGCUCAUAAUAAGAUAACUAUUUUCUUUAAGGGAUUUCUCAAGUUUGGUUGCUUAGGAGUAUGGAGCAUUAGGUACUGUGUAUGGACUGUAGUAAUGUCUGUGUUUUGGGUCUAAAAUGAUGUCAGCCAUAUCAGUCGAGUCUUUCUAUAGUAAUAACUAUUUUAUGUUCUAAUUUAUGAACUUUUUGUCUUUCCAAAAACCUGAUGCAUUAAAGAAUUUCCCAAGUCGGGCUUGCUCAGGAGCAUUAAAUUAGUGUGUAUGAACUGUUGUCACGGUUGUGUUUUGGGUCCUAGUGUGAGUUGGGCUACAUUGGUACCGUCUUCCUACAAUAAUAACUAAUUUAAAUUAUAAUUUAUGCACCAUUUAUCUUUCUAAAAACAUUCAGACUAUUCAAAUGAAGAGUGAUAUUAAAUUGGAAUUACUCAACUCUUUAGAUAUCUUUGAUAGUCUUAUCCUGGAAUUAACUCUUUUUUCUGUUCAAAUUACUCUUAGUCAAAUGUACUUUUAGUACUCCGAUUAAGAACUUCCGUUACGAUAUUUGAAAUUUACAUUAUUUGUCCACAAAAAUGAUAAGAUUUUCUUGAGAAUCACAAAGGUUAUAUAUGGAAAGAAAUGGGGACCACCUGUCAGAAAAUUGAAUAGAUUUGAGAGUUGGUUUCGGCAUUAAAGCCCUAUAAAACACGGUGUCUCUCCAAAGUAUUUCUCAAGCUUCUAUACUUAUCAAAAAAAAAAUUAAGUAUUUUGCAAGCUUCUCAUAGUUCUAUCAAGUGCAAGAAGAGAGCAUGGGGCACAAAAAGACUCAAACAAAGAUGAUUCAAGGAGAAGAUGAAAAGCGAAUUUCGUUGUCAAAACAACGAUCUGGCCUCUUCAAGAAGGCCAGUGAACUUUGCACCCUGUGUGCCAUUGAGACAGCUUUUGUCAUCUUUUCCCCUAAUGGCAAGGCCUUCUCCUACGGUAUCCCCUCUGCUGAUGUUGCAGCGAACAGGCUUGGCCAGCCUGAUGCUUAUACAAUUCAGGAAGCAGAGGCUCACCAUGAGAGAAUUCUAUGUGAGCUGCGCAAGAAUUAUUCUGAUCUGGCUUCUCAACUGGACGCUGAAAAGAAGCGGGGGGAGAAACUGAAGCUGAUUAUGAAUGAAACCUCAGGGUGCUCCAGCUGGUUCAGUACUCCGUCUAGUGAACUCAGCUAUGAGGAGCUGCUGAUUCGGCAGGCAGCAAUGGAGGAUCUUAAGGGGAAGCUAACCAAGGGAAUAGAGGAGAGGCUUGCCCAGACUUCUGCUUCAUCUGCAGCCAUCAACACUGCUGGAGCUACUGAUUCCCUUGGUACUGAUGCAUCUGGGGGUAAUUCUUCUCUUGAUCCUCAUGGCCGUAUUGUAGACCAUUAAUCAUGGUGAUUCUGAAUAAGGUGAUGGAAGAGAGUUUGACUGGACUGUUGUUUUGUUUUAGGCUUUUUCAUAUUUAUUUAAUAUCGUCAAGUCACUCUCUUUCUGUCUCAGAUGCAUUUUGCUUUGACAGCUGGAUACUUUGUAUUCAAACUCUGUUUUAAGUUUUAACCUUGUUUUUGUUGAAGAAUAUGUUGUGACAAAAAUAGAUGCUGGUUGUGGAGGCAUUAGGCAAUGACAUCAUACUAUGUUUGCAUUUAUAA